CUUUMCAUGCAAGUCGAACGGUAACAGGGAGCUUGCUCCGCUGACGAGUGGCGAACGGGUGAGUAAUGCAUCGGAACGUGCCGUGUAGUGGGGGAUAACGUAGCGAAAGUUACGCUAAUACCGCAUACGCCCCGAGGGGGAAAGUGGGGGACCGCAAGGCCUCACGCUAUACGAGCGGCCGAUGUCGGAUUAGCUAGUUGGUAGGGUAAAGGCCUACCAAGGCGACGAUCCGUAGCGGGUCUGAGAGGAUGAUCCGCCACACUGGGACUGAGUCACGGCCCAGACUCCUACGGGAGGCAGCAGUGGGGAAUUUUGGACAAUGGGCGCAAGCCUGAUCCAGCCAUGCCGCGUGCGGGAAGAAGGCCUUCGGGUUGUAAACCGCUUUUGUCAGGGAAGAACUCUUCUGGGCUAAUACCUCGGGAGGAUGACGGUACCUGAAGAAUAAGCACCGGCUAACUACGUGCCAGCAGCCGCGGUAAUACGUAGGGUGCAAGCGUUAAUCGGAAUUACUGGGCGUAAAGCGUGCGCAGGCGGUUCUGCAAGACAGAUGUGAAAUCCCCGGGCUUAACCUGGGAACUGCAUUUGUGACUGCAGAGCUGGAGUGCGGCAGAGGGGGAUGGAAUUCCGCGUGUAGCAGUGAAAUGCGUAGAUAUGCGGAGGAACACCGAUGGCGAAGGCAAUCCCCUGGGCCUGCACUGACGCUCAUGCACGAAAGCGUGGGGAGCAAACAGGAUUAGAUACCCUGGUAGUCCACGCCCUAAACGAUGUCAACUGGUUGUUGGAAGGGUUCCCUUUCAGUAACGAAGCUAACGCGUGAAGUUGACCGCCUGGGGAGUACGGCCGCAAGGUUGAACUCAAAGGAAUUGACGGGGACCCGCACAAGCGGUGGAUGAUGUGGUUUAAUUCGAUGCACGCGAAGAC
rnacentral:rRNA from 1 species